rnacentral:rRNA from 1 species
AGAGUUUGAUCCUGGCUCAGAUUGAACGCUGGCGGCAUGCCUUACACAUGCAAGUCGAACGGCAGCACGGGGGCAACCCUGGUGGCGAGUGGCGAACGGGUGAGUAAUACAUCGGAACGUACCUAGUAGUGGGGGAUAGCUCGGCGAAAGCCGGAUUAAUACCGCAUACGCACUACGGUGGAAAGCGGGGGAUCGUAAGACCUCGUGUUAUAGGAGCGGCCGAUGUCGGAUUAGCUAGUUGGUGGGGUAAAGGCCUACCAAGGCGACGAUCCGUAGCGGGUCUGAGAGGACGGCCCGCCACACUGGGACUGAGACACGGCCCAGACUCCUACGGGAGGCAGCAGUGGGGAAUUUUGGACAAUGGGGGCAACCCUGAUCCAGCCAUGCCGCGUGAGUGAAGAAGGCCUUCGGGUUGUAAAGCUCUUUCGGCCGGGAAGAAAUCGCGCCAGCCAAUACCUGGUGUGGAUGACGGUACCGGAAGAAGAAGCACCGGCUAACUACGUGCCAGCAGCCGCGGUAAUACGUAGGGUGCGAGCGUUAAUCGGAAUUACUGGGCGUAAAGCGUGCGCAGGCGGCUCUAUAAGACAGAUGUGAAAUCCCCGGGCUUAACCUGGGAACUGCGUUUGUGACUGUAGGGCUUGAGUACGGCAGAGGGGGGUG